UACGUAGGGUGCGAGCGUUAAUCGGAAUUACUGGGCGUAAAGCGUGCGCAGGCGGUUUUGUAAGCCAGAUGUGAAAUCCCCGGGCUUAACCUGGGAAUGGCAUUUGGGACUGCAAGGCUUGAGUGCGGCAGAGGAGACUGGAAUUCCUGGUGUAGCAGUGAAAUGCGUAGAUAUCAGGAGGAACACCGAUGGCGAAGGCAGGUCUCUGGGCUGACACUGACGCUCAUGCACGAAAGCGUGGGAGCGGAACAAAC
rnacentral:rRNA from 1 species